GGUGAACGCUGGCGGCGUGCCUAAUACAUGCAAGUCGAGCGAACAGACGAGGAGCUUGCUCCUCUAACGUUAGCGGCGGACGGGUGAGUAACACGUGGAUAACCUACCUAUAAGACUGGGAUAACUUCGGGAAACCGGAGCUAAUACCGGAUAAUAUAUUGAACCGCAUGGUUCAAUAGUGAAAGACGGUUUUGCUGUCACUUAUAGAUGGAUCCGCGCCGCAUUAGCUUGUUGGUAAGGUAACAGCUUACCAAGGCAACGAUGCGUAGCCGACCUGAGAGGGUGAUCGGCCACACUGGAACUGAGACACGGUCCAGACUCCUACGGGAGGCAGCAGUAGGGAAUCUUCCGCAAUGGGCGAAAGCCUGACGGAGCAACGCCGCGUGAGUGAUGAAGGUCUUCGGAUCGUAAAACUCUGUUAUUAGGGAAGAACAAAUGUGUAAGUAACUAUGCACGUCUUGACGGUACCUAAUCAGAAAGCCACGGCUAACUACGUGCCAGCCGCCGCCGUAA
rnacentral:rRNA from 1 species